rnacentral:rRNA from 1 species
UUAGGUAGUAACAACCAUUUGAGUCUGGGAUUUCUGAAUGGGGAAACCCACUUACAUAAGUAAGUAUCCUUACCUGAAUACAUAGGGUAAGGAGGCGAACCGGGGGAACUGAAACAUCUAAGUACCCCGAGGAAAAGAAAUCAACCGAGAUUCCGAAAGUAGCGGCGAGCGAAAUUGGACUAGCCCUUAAGCUUUACACGCGUUAGACGAACGGUCUGGAAAGUCCGACGAUACAGGGUGAUAGUCCCGUAGUUGACGACGUGUGUUCAGUGAAAUCGAGUAGGGCGGGACACGUGAUAUCCUGUCUGAAUAUGGGGGGACCAUCCUCCAAGGCUAAAUACUACUGACUGACCGAUAGUGAACCAGUACCGUGAGGGAAAGGCGAAAAGAACC